GGUCCCAUAGCUCAGUUGGUUAGAGCGUCGUACUAAUAUUAUCAAUUAUCAUCGUUGGUUAUAUCUAGUUUAUGCGAAGGCCGGCGGUUCGAGCCCGCCUGGGACCA